ACCAUGCAGCUGGGAGAGGAGCCCCAGCCCUGGGAUUUCCAGGUGUUUACAUUCACUGAGCAGGACAGAACACAGAGAACUCAUUAUGGACUUUGUGCUUGGCUGGGUUUUCCUUGUUGCUCUUUUAAAAGGUGUCCAGAGCGAGGUGAAGCUUGUGGAAUCUGGGAGAGACCUGGUGAAGCCUGGGGGGUCCCUGAGACUCUCGUGUGCAGCCUCUGGAUUCACCUUCAGUAACUAUGACAUGAACUGGGUCCGCCAGGCUCCAGGAAAGGGACUGCAGUGGGUCACAUACAUUAGCAGUGGUGGAAGUAGCACAUACUAUGCAGACUCUGUGAAGGGCCGAUUCACCAUCUCCAGAGACAACGGCAAGGACAUGCUGUAUCUGCAGAUGAACAGCCUGAGAGCAGAGGACACGGCCAUGUAUUAUUGUGCAAGAGACACAGUGAGGGGGCAUCAGUGUGAGCCCAGACACAAACCUCAAACUUCAAGGGUAUCAGACCAGCAGACGGUGCACACUCCUCACCAAUUCUGUCUUUAA